AGGAGGCAGCAAGUCUGAGGUGCAAGUCCAUGGACUGCUAAUGAGACUAGAUCUACGGUUUGUGGUGUGCUAAACCUGGCUUCUUUAAUACUAUAUCAAAGGCCCAAUCAAAGGGAUAAUUUCCUCCAGCAGCCUGUCUCUGAGCAUCACUGCACCAACUAAUGGCUGAAAUACCAAGCAAUAUGGAUUAGCACUGUAUCUCAUUUUUGCAGUGUUGUCUAUACACUUGGGUCAUCUGGAAUGACUCAUUGCUCUCUAAUGGCAGUCUGUAUACAGAGCAGAUGAGCGGAGACGUUGUCCUUUAACUGCUAAGAUAAUGAAGUACUGUGGGAUCUGACUUCCGGGCCGGCCAGGGCAGAUUGGAGUAAGUCCGGCCCAGCGCAGGGAACUGCAGUGUGGGGCAGGGCGCCAUGGCAGGUGCCUGUGUCAGCAGUACUGCCGGCCAAGGGGAGAGGUCAAUCUCACACCUCCAGCAGGUGGGACACAGACUUGCAUUAAUGAUGCUUACAGUGAGAUAGCUGCAGUGUCAGGGGGAGAGGAGAGCAUCGAGCCAGGUGUCUCCUCCAGCUCUGAGAUUUACACAGGAACACAACAAAGGUAACAGGCUUCUAAAUUUGGAAUUCAUGCUUGAUGAAGUUGUUGGGUCAGUGAAGAACUGCAUUUGUGGUUAUCGCUUUUUUGGAAAAACAUUUGGUUAUUCUCAUAUAAUAGCCUAUUGCUUUAUCUAAAACCCAAAUACUUGCAUAAUGCAUUUAUACAAUUAAAAAUACUACAGAAAUAUAUAUAUUUUUUUUGAUUGAGGCAUGUGUAGGUUUGGCAUGUUUGUGCCUACUGGCAUUUUUAAGGACCUCCGCUUUAACAAUAAAAUGCACAUGAUAACUUUUGUUCACCAGCUAAUUACUCUUCAACAGUGAUGCUAUAUAGUUAGUGAGAAAAUGGUUCAAAGUCAAAAUUCAAAAGAUGGUUUGUUUCUCUGAUGCAUAAGGUCUAUAGAAUCUGCAAUUUAUCAGUUGCUGGUCAAAAUUUUUGAAGUUGGCUUGAAGAGGAAAUUCGAAAUCCAAAUUAUUGGUCUUAUUGUGAAUAAUUCAUCUAUGCAUGCAUAUUUUGACUUUUCAUAUUUUUUGUAACUUGUAACUUACCUUCCAGUGAAACAACAAGGACUUCUCUCUGGUGAAGUAUACUGUAAUUCUUCAGUCAUUAAAUCCACUUAAUUUACUGCCCCAAUCUUACAAAUCACCACAAAACUCACUUUCAGAUCUGCCUCCUCCUAAUCGAAAAACGAUGGACAAAAUCAAGUCCCUAUCCUAUAUUUUUUGUACUUUUUCCGAUAAUCCGUUUCACUCUGAAGUACGUCACAAUAUGAAAGAAAGAUCUGACACUACUUUAGUUGCAUUAUGUCUUUAAUGUCCAUGCUGUAAGUGUGUGAUGUAAAUGUGGCCAAUGCAUUUACAUAUUGGGUCAAGAAAGCUUCUUAAUGACACUGAGCUAUCUUGAUAUGAGGUGACUUAACUGGACAUAAAAUUGUUCUGCCUCAUUCUGCACUCUUAUGUCAUACAUCUGAAUCAGGAGCUCCUUACCUCAUCUUCCUCCAUACCUCUUUGUCCUUCUCCUCUUGUCCAUGCGAUAAUGGAUGAAUGAAAGGAGGAAGGAUCUAUUCUGGAUAUUUCACGCCCCCGUCAGCUCUUCACCACAGAUGAUCAGCUGCUGUGUGUGUGUGUGUGUGUGUGCGGUAUAUCAGAGUGUAAUAUAGAUAAUUUGAGCGUGUCCUGGUGCCACAGUGAGUGCACAUUUGUGUCAGUAAUUUGUAAUGAGUCAAUGUAGGAGUGUAGCUUAAAGGUGUAGUUCACUCAAAAAUAAAUAAAUUUACUCACUCUCAUGUUGUUCAGACCUGUAUGUUUUUUUUUUU